AGUGCGCAGGCGCGUCCUCUUAGACGCAGUCCGGACUACAAGCCCCAACAGGCUUUGCGCGCCAGCCUGCUAAAUCAUUUUUCCUCACCUCCAGGCUGCCAAGAAAGAACAAUCCCUUGCUACAGCAAGAAGUCUGAAGGAGCUGGCUAUAGAGGGCUCAAGACGUCUGUCCUAAACCAGAAUCUGCAUUUCAAAAAGGAAGAGGAAGAGGAAGAAGAGACCGCAGCAACAACAGUAACAACAUCAUCAUCAUCAACAACAACAACGAAAGUAGACUAAAGUCACACCUAAAAAUUCUUCAGGCAAAGAUAGAAUCAAGCAACAAGUAUCCAGGUCACUUUACGUAAGCUGGGAAGGUGUCAGACAGAAACACUCCCAGGAAUCUCAGAAGUCAUCCUGAUUCACACAGACUUCUCCGAGGGUGGCACAGGGAGCAACGAGAAGAGAAAUAUGCAAACAACAAGACUUUCUGCUCAGUCUUUACGAACUCUCUAGACUUGGAUGGAGAAGAGACAGGUCCCACAAGGUCAACUGGUCUAGUCAGCUGCAUUCGGCCUGUUUCUUCACCUGUGAAGCAGUACUCGUGGUAGUGUCUUACCUCUUAGGCUCACGGAAAAAUGAACCAAGAAGGCACUGCCCAGGGCAGGGUCAAGGGUGGUGCAAUAAAAAUGCUUGCU
ensembl:lncRNA LOC102549926 uncharacterized LOC102549926